CUCUGCGCCAUCACCACUCACUGUAACAUCCCUAAUUUCUAACCCUAAAUCUCAAAAUCCCAAAUUAACUCAGAAAAUCCUAAUUUCCCCAAUUCCUAACCCUAACAGCCGCAACCUCACCCUCCUUCAAUGUAACAAACAAAAGCAGCCACUGUAGAGAGAAGAGGGAUCGGGAGAAGAAGAGAAGAGAGGAAAGGCCUGUCCAGCCGUCACCACCGCAGCGCCGCUGCAGCUAUUGCCACCUUCAGAGUUGCGGAAAGUGGUCCUCCCUGGCGUCGAAUGCCGCCAUCGUGUCGCACAUGAGAGAGAGAGAGAGACAGAUUCGAGAGGAGCUACCGACGAUCGCUGCCGUCGAAGCCAGGCUCGUUACCGUCACCACCCAAGAAGCUGUGAGGAGCCGCUGUCGUGCUCGUGUCGCUGUGCACCGUCGAGCUUCCCUCACCCUGAGCCGUCGAUCUGUCGCCACCGCUACAAGGGCUUGUCGCUGGAGCCACGACUGUCACUGAGCUUCCGUCGCCGCUGCCGUUCAACCCGCUGCUGCCGUCGAUUUGGAGUUGCUGCGAUUGGAGCCACUAGCGGGGUUCGUUGAGUUCGGAUUCCUUGUGCUACUGUAACUGUCAUUACUGCUGUGGAAACCAACGUUUCUGUUUGGCUGCUGCUGAAGGUCUUCCACCAUCACUGGAGCUGCCCAGAAUCAUCGUGGAAGCUGCCAAGAUAUAUGGUUGAUUUCUAAU